GACGAACGCUGGCGGCGUGCUUAACACAUGCAAGUCGAACGGAAAGGCCCUGCUUUUGUGGGGUGCUCGAGUGGCGAACGGGUGAGUAACACGUGAGUAACCUGCCCUUGACUUUGGGAUAACUUCAGGAAACUGGGGCUAAUACCGGAUAGGAGCUCCUGCUGCAUGGUGGGGGUUGGAAAGUUUCGGCGGUUGGGGAUGGACUCGCGGCUUAUCAGCUUGUUGGUGGGGUAGUUGCUUACCAAGGCUUUGACGGGUAGCCGGCCUGGGAGGGUGACCGGCCACAUUAGGACUGCGGUACGGACCAGACUGCUACGGGCGGCAGCGGGGGGGAAUAUUGCACAGUGGGCGGAAGCCUGAUGCAGCAACGCCGGGUGCGGGAUGACGGCCUUCGGGUUGUAAACCGCUUUCGCCUGUGACGAAGCGUGAGUGACGGUAAUGGGUAAAGAAGCACCGGCUAACUACGUG
rnacentral:rRNA from 1 species